CGAAAGCCUGACGGAGCAACGCCGCGUGAGGGAGGAAGGCUCUUGGGUUGUAAACCUCUUUUCUCAAGGAAGAUAAUGACGGUACUUGAGGAAUCAGCAUCGGCUAACUCCGUGCCAGCAGCCGCGGUAAGACGGAGGAUGCAAGCGUUAUCCGGAAUUAUUGGGCGUAAAGCGUCCGUAGGCGGUUCAUCAAGUCUGCCGUUAAAGACUGCAGCUCAACUGUGGGCCGGCGGUGGAAACUGAUGAACUUGAGUAUGGUAGGGGUAGAGGGAAUUCCCAGUGUAGCGGUGAAAUGCGUAGAUAUUGGGAAGAACACCAGUGGCGAAGGCGCUCUGCUGGGCCAUAACUGACGCUGAGGGACGAAAGCUAGGGGAGCG
rnacentral:rRNA from 1 species